ACGGAAGGCAGCAGUGGGGGAUAUUGCACAAUGGGGGAAACCCUGAUGCAGCGACGCCGCGUGAGCGAAGAAGUGCUUCGGCAUGUAAAGCUCUAUCAGCAGGGAAGGAAAUGACGGUACCUGACUAAGAAGCCCGGCUAACUACGUGCCAGCAGCCGCGGUAAUACGUAGGGGGCAAGCGUUAUCCGGAUUCACUGGGUGUAAAGGGAGCGUAGACGGCAACGCAAGUCUGAUGUGAAAACCCGCGGCUCAACCGCGGGAUUGCAUUGGAAACUGUGUAGCUUGAGUACUGGAGGGGCAGGCGGAAUGCCUGGUGUAGCGGUGGAAUGCGUAGAUAUCAGGAGGAACACCGGUGGCGAAGGCGGCCUGCUGGACAGUAACUGACGUUGAGGCUCGAAAGCGUGGGGAGCAAACAGGAUUAGAUACCCUGGUA
rnacentral:rRNA from 1 species